rnacentral:lncRNA from 1 species
UCGGAUAUAGUUGGCAUGCCAUAGGAUUGGAAGUGUUCAGGGAUUCUUCGACCUCGAGUCGAUGAGACACUGGGUGUCACUAUAUUUCUUCGGAUAGAUUCGAUGAGGUACUGGGUACCAACUUUACUUCGGCUAGGCCGAUGAGACACUAGGUGUCAAAUAUUGCUUCGAACUAUCCAAUGAGGCACUGGGUGCCAUAUUGGUGUGUUUGGUUGGAUCCGUGUAUCCG